rnacentral:rRNA from 1 species
UCCAGAGAAUUUAGCAGAGAUGCUUUAGUGCCUUCGGGAACUCUGAGACAGGUGCUGCAUGGCUGUCGUCAGCUCGUGUUGUGAAAUGUUGGGUUAAGUCCCGNAACGAGCGCAACCCUUAUCCUUUGUUGUCAGCACGUAAUGGUGGGAACUCAAAGGAGACUGCCGGUGAUAAACCGGAGGAAGGUGGGGAUGACGUCAAGUCAUCAUGGCCCUUACGAGUAGGGCUACACACGUGCUACAAUGGCGCAUACAAAGAGAAGCGACCUCGCGAGAGCAAGCGGACCUCAUAAAGUGCGUCGUAGUCCGGAUUGGAGUCUGCAACUCGACUCCAUGAAGUCGGAAUCGCUAGUAAUCGUAAAUCAGAAUGUUACGGUGAAUACGUUCCCGGGCCUUGUACACACCGCCCGUCACACCAUGGGAGUGGGUUGCAAAAGAAGUAGAUAGCUUAACCUUCGGGAGGGCGUUUACCACUUUGUGAUUCAUGACUGGGGUGAAGUCGUAACAAGGUAGGCGUAGUGCU